rnacentral:rRNA from 1 species
GUGGGGAAUCUUGCACAAUGGGCGAAAGCCUGACGCAGCCAUGCCGCGUGAAUGAUGAAGGUCUUAGGAUUGUAAAAUUCUUUCACCGGGGACGAUAAUGACGGUACCCGGAGAAGAAGCUCCGGCUAACUUCGUGCCAGCAGCCGCGGUAAUACGAAGGGGGCUAGCGUUGCUCGGAAUUACUGGGCGUAAAGGGCGCGUAGGCGGACAGCUUAGUCAGAGGUGAAAGCCCAGGGCUCAACCUUGGAAUUGCCUUUGAUACUGGCUGUCUUGAGUUUGGGAGAGGUGAGUGGAACUCCGAGUGUAGAGGUGAAAUUCGUAGAUAUUCGGAAGAACACCAGUGGCGAAGGCGACUCACUGGCCCAAUACUGACGCUGAGGCGCGAAAGCGUGGGGAGCAAACAGGAUUAGAUACCCUAGUAGUCC